rfam:Zootermopsis nevadensis contig4029, whole genome shotgun sequence.
GCCACGGUGGUCUAGCGGUUAAAACGCUGGCCUUGUAAUCCUGGGGUCUCGGGUUCGAUUCCCGGCGGUGCCC